rnacentral:rRNA from 1 species
CUACUCCUACGGGGAGGCAGCAGUAGGGAAUCUUCCGCAAUGGACGAAAGUCUGACGGAGCAACGCCGCGUGAGUGAUGAAGGCUUUCGGGUCGUAAAACUCUGUUGUUAGGGAAGAACAAGUACGAGAGUAACUGCUCGUACCUUGACGGUACCUAACCAGAAAGCCACGGCUAACUACGUGCCAGCAGCCGCGGUAAUACGUAGGUGGCAAGCGUUAUCCGGAAUUAUUGGGCGUAAAGCGCGCGCAGGCGGUUUCUUAAGUCUGAUGUGAAAGCCCACGGCUCAACCGUGGAGGGUCAUUGGAAACUGGGGAACUUGAGUGCAGAAGAGAAAAGCGGAAUUCCACGUGUAGCGGUGAAAUGCGUAGAGAUGUGGAGGAACACCAGUGGCGAAGGCGGCUUUUUGGUCUGUAACUGACGCUGAGCGCGAAAUACUACCCAA